UGCAAGCGUUAUCCGGAUUCAUUGGGUUUAAAGGGAGCGUAGGUGGUCUUCUAAGUCAGUGGGGAAAUCUCUCGGCUUAACUGAGAAAUUGCCAUUGAUACUGGGAGACUUGAGUGUAGUUGCCGUUGGCGGAAUAUGACAUGUAGUGGUGAAAUACAUAGAGAUGUCAUAGAACACCGAUUGCGAAGGCAGCUAACGAAACUAUAACUGACACUGAGGCUCGAAAGUGCGGGGAUCAAACAGG
rnacentral:rRNA from 1 species